CCGGAGCCUGCUUUGGAUUCUGUGUCUCCCUCUCUCUCUGCCCCUCCCUCGCUCAUUCUUUGUCUCUCUCUGUCUCUCCAAAAUGAAUAAACGUUAAAACAAACAAAGAAAACCAAGAGUCACUUAUGAAGUGAACACUUACAAGCCAGACUUGAAUUUACAUUCACUUUCAUCAAGUUUCAAAAGGUAAAUGUUUCAGAGAGAACAUUUCAACAGGGGUGAAAGAUGAAUAGAAAGAAAACGAAUGAUUUCACAUUCAAGCGCUUGGCUUGGCAUUUUGAAGAAAGGGAUGGAGGUAAUGAUGUCAUUGGACGAAGUUCGUGAUAAUAGGUUUUUAGAACAAUUAAGUGUAGAAUACUUUCUCUCUUUUUUAAGUUUAUUUUGAGAAAGAGAGAGAAAGCGCGUGGGCACGAGUGGGGGAGGGGCAGAGAGAGAAAGAGGAUCCCAAGGGGGCUCAGCACUGUCUGUGUAAAGCCUACCUCAAGGCUGGAUCUCACAACCUUGAGAUCAUGACCUGAGCUAAAAUCAAGAGCCGGACACUUAACUGACUAAGCCACCCAGGUGCUCCAAGUAUAGAUUACUUUCUGACCAUACAAUUAUUAGGAAGUGGCAUUGCAUUUCUUUUUAUUAUUUUACAUACUUCCUUCUGCUAGUUGCGUUUCUGGUGAUCAGCACGUAUCUCAAAGCAGGUAGCAUUUAUCAAGUACUGUUCCAGCUGCUCUGCUGCACUGGGUCCUGAGAGAUAGUUACAGAGGGAGGCACCAAUAAAAUCCUUUUUCUGGAGGAAUUUAACCCUUAAUGAGAGGAAAAUGAACCUAUCUGUGUGUAUUAAAAGCAACUUGUGAAAUACGAAGUAAUGUCACGAAGGGGAAAUAAAAUUUAGAAAUGCACUUAUUAUAAUUCAGUUUAUAUUUUGAUUACAUAUGUAAUGGCAGGAUGUCUUGGAUAUGGACGAGAGGGAACAAGAUUGGCCGCGUGUUGGUCAGUGUUGAAACUGAGGUUCGUUACAUUCUUCUCUCUAGUUUUGUGUAUUGUUUGAAAAUCUCUUAAUCCAAACUUUAAAACAAAGAACUGAGCUCCAAUUUUGCGAUUAACUGGCUGCUUGAGGGUGGCCUUUCAUAUAAGUGAGAACAUUCUCUCUUCUAUGUUCACAAUCUAGUCAUCUCCUGCCUCCUUUUCAUGCGUCUUCCAAAUAAAAUCUUUCUUCAGUCAAUAACCUUGAAUUCCAUUACUCUAGGCCUUUAUCAACGAAAAUAUAAUCCUAAUACAGUAUUAUUACAAAACUUUAAACACAUAUUUUAUUUAUCAUCCUCAGAUAGUCAGAGCUGUUGCAGCCAGCUCGGAGCACACUUCCAAACUCAGUGCUGAUGAACCAGAUCCAGGAAUCAUGCCUUUGUACUUGCUCAUGGGCUCAUUUCACAGCGAUCUUUAGGAGUAAUUGACUAAGGACACAUAGUUCGUUUACUGGGCAUGUCUUCUCAGACCACAUAAUCUUAGGCCAUUACAAUAUCACUUACAGCUUCUGCUGUUUUUGAACAAGGCUGCAAGAAGCAUUUUCAGGAAUUUGUGAGAAAUGAGGGCAUUGUAUGACCUAGUGUUUUGAGUAAAAGCCAGUACUAGAGAAACUGUUACUUUCCCCGAAGGAAUUGACCUACUACCUCCUCUCAGAUUCUAAUUAUCUAAAUGACUGAUUUCCCCUUUUUACCUUGACUAUCAAGAAGGCAAAGUCCAAUUAAGCAGUCACUUUCCAAUUAUGAAAAUAAUAAAUAUUACAUGCCCAUGAUAGAAAAGUUGUAAAAUACCCAAGGAGCAAAAACAAGGAAAAGAGAGACAUAAAAAAAUUAACCCAUGAUCCCGUCAUCCAGAAAAGCCACUGUUAAUGUUUUUUGUAAGAGACAAAUAUGAGACUCAGUUAAUGGAAUUAAAUUUACCAUUAGGGUUGAUAUGAGUGCUUACCUUUUACUUGGUUCUGAUUUUCUCAAUUUCCUACCUUUUAAGUAUAUGCAUGUUGAAACUGUUUCAAGCCAUUUGGGGGAAGAAGAGGUGCCAACAAAAAUUUACCCUUAAACUAAUAUGGUGGCAAUAUGAGGCAACUAUUGUCAAGUUUGGGUCUCCUGAUACAAUACCUGCUUACUAUGGGAUUAUGAGGAUUAUAUCAAGUGAGUCACCGGUUACACAUUGAAAAUUCCAAAGUACUAUAAAAUAAUGAUAAUAAAACGAGCUAACACUAUUUGAGUUCUUUGCUAUGUUUCCCGGCACAACAACCCUACAAAAUGGUACUGUUUUAGCAUUUCAGUCUUUGGUGUUAUUAAAUAGUUCACUUCACUCUUUUGUAGAGUAAUGAGGUAUAAACCUUAAUCCCUAUAACCUCAGAAUGUUAUCUUCUCUGAAAAUAAGUCUGCGCAGAUGUAAUUUAAAAUAAUGACAUUGAGAUGAAAUCAUCCUGGAUUUCCACAGGAUGCCCUAAGUCCAAUGAAAAGUGUCUUUAUAAGACACACCUCAGAGGAAAAGUAAUGUGACCAUGGAAGAAAAGAUUUGAGUGCUGUGACAUUAAGCCAAGGAAGGCCUGGAGCCACCAAAAACUAGACAAGGCAAAUGACCAAUUGCCCAUAGAGCCUUCAGAGGGGGAAAUUUCAGAUAACUUGUUGAGAUCCUCCUGUGACCAGGUGAUUAUAUGGACACGAUCAACUUCUGGGGGCGAAUGAAGACAGACAAACACAUGGCGGCUGAGAUCAAUGAGACAAAAGUCACUCCUCUUUCUUAGUAGCAGAGCUGGGAUACAAACCCAGGCAAUGGCACCACUCAGGCCUCACUGCCCGGUAGCCAUAUGAUCUCCAUCUGCACUGAGGUCAGCACAUAGGCGUAAAUGGAAGGAAGCAGAAAGUGUAUCAGGAGGAAACACAUGAAUGGAAUAAAACGUAAACCAGACUUCUGUCCUGCCGUUGGCCCUCCCAGGCUACCAGAGACUCUUCCUCCUGGCUGACCUCUUCUACAGAGCCUUCUCCUACAUUCGCUGGGGAUCAACCACAGGAAGAAGAAGCUACAGAUGUUUCCUCAACAAAGCACUCUGAACAGAGCAGAGUAAUGCAGCUAUUCUGGACUUGGAACCAGAAGACCCAGCUUCACAUUCUGACAAAAGCACUGCCAUGCCAUGUCCCACAAAGAGAAAAUGCACCCACAAGCAGGGGAGGGGCAGAGAGAGAGAGACACAGAAGCCA